rnacentral:ncRNA from 1 species
UGACCUCAGAUCAGGCAAGGCUACCCGCUGAAUUUAAGCAUAUUAAUAAGCGGAGGAAAAGAAACUAACAAGGAUUCCCCUAGUAAUGGCGAAUGAAGCGGGAACAGCUCAAAUUUAAAAUCUCCGUUGCUUGCAACGGCGAAUUGUAGUUUCGAGAAGCACUUUCUCGGCGGAUCCGAGGUCGUCCAAGUUGCUUGGAACAGCACGUCGUAGAGGGUGACAACCCCGUCUGCGGCGAUCUCGGCCGUUCACGAUGUGCUUUCGACGAGUCGGGUUGUUUGGGAAUGCAGCCCAAAAUGGGUGGUAAACUCCAUCUAAAGCUAAAUAUUGGCACGAGACCGAUAGCGAACAAGUACCGUGAGGGAAAGAUGAAAAGCACUUUGAAAAGAGAGUUAAAAAGUACGUGAAACCGUUAAAAGGGAAACGAAUGGGGUUAGCAAUGCGUCGUGCGAGAUUCAGCCGGUGGGUGGGCCAGGCGGGCGGUUGGCGGAUCUGAAUGGACCGCUGCCGUUCGGGUUGGUUUCCCGACCGUCGCACUUCUCGCAGGCGCGCGCCAACGUCGGUUAGGGCUGGGUCUCAAAGGCGGUGGAAAGGUAGGUUUGGACUCUCGGGCCCGAACUGUUACAGUCCUCCGUUCGUCAUGGCCCGGACCUGACCGAGGAGCUUGCGGUGCAUGCCCUUUCGGCUAGGGUCCCGUCUUCCCGGUCGGUCGUCGAAUGCGGUGGACUGCGUGCAGUGCGCCGCGACUGCUGCCGGUCGCGAGGGCGGUGAUUUCGUACUAUGCACCCACGACGUUGGCGGUCAUAUGGNCUCAUCCGACCCGUCUUGAAACACGGACCAAGGAGUCUAACAUGUGUGCGAGUCUUUGAGUGAUCGAAACU